AACGCUGGCGGCAUGCCUAACACAUGCAAGUCGAACGAGAAACUAGACUUCGGUUUAGUGGACAGUGGCGAACGGGUGCGUAACGCGUGGGAAAUUACCGUAAAGUCUGGGGCAACAGUUGGAAACGACUGCUAAUACCGGAUAAUUCCUAAGGGAUAAAGCUUAAUGUGCUUUGCGAUAUGCCCGCGUUAGAUUAGCUAGUUGGUAAGGUAAGAGCUUACCAAGGCGACGAUCUAUAGCUGGUUUGAGAGGAUGAUCAGCCACACUGGGACUGAGACACGGCCCAGACUCCUGCGGGAGGCAGCAGUGGGGAAUAUUGGACAAUGGGGGCAACCCUGAUCCAGCAAUGCCGCGUGUGUGAAGAAGGCCUUAGGGUUGUAAAACACUUUCAACUGAGAAGAUGAUGACGGUAUCAGUAGAAGAAGCUCCGGCUAACU
rnacentral:rRNA from 1 species